CCAGCUCCCUAGCUCCUUUUUUUUUUUUUUUAAUUUUGAGACUGGGCCUUGCUAUAUUGCUGAGGCUGGCUUUGAACUUGCAAUCUUCCUGCCUUAGACUCCCGAGUUGCUGGGAUUACAGGCAUGCACCACCACGCCCUGAUAGAGCAUCUUUUUAUAUGCUUAUUUGUCAUAUGUAUAUUUUCCUUGAUUAGGUGUCUGUGAAGGUCUUGGCCAAUUUUUUCUUGUUGUUGUUGUUCUGAGAUUUGAACCCAGGGUGAUUUACCACUGAGUUACACCCCCAGCCCUUUUUAUGUUUAUUUGGAGACUGCACCUUGCUAAAUUGCUGAGGCUGGACUUAAACUUUCAAUUCUCUUGUCUCGGCUGCCCAAGUAGCUGGGAUUACAGGUGUGCACCAUUGCACCCAGCAUUUUUGGCCAAUUUUUUAAGAUGGUUGUUUGCUUAUUGUUGAGUUAUAAGAGUUCUAUUUUGGGUAACGGCCCUUUAUCAGAAGUGUCUUUUGCAAAUAUUGUCUUCCAUUCUGGUUCUUCUACUCGUUCUUUGGCAUUGUCUUUCACAGAGCAAGCAAAUUUUAAUUUUCAUGAAAUCCUCAAUCUUUCCUUAUUCCCUUCCUUCCUCUCUCCCUACCUUCUUUUUGUAACACUGGAGAUUUAACCCAGUAGUAAUGUACACUGAGCUACACCCAACCCCUUUUAUUUUAUUUUGAGACAGUGUUUUAUUAAGUUGCCAAUGCUGGCCUCAAAUUUGUGAUUGUCCUGUCUUAGCCUUGCAAGUUGCUGGGAUUGUAGGCUUGUGCCACCAUAGCUGGCUAAAUUAAUUUUUUUUUAUGUGGAUGGCCAAUUGUUUCAUCACAACUUAUUGAAAAGACAAUUGUUGGGCUGGGAUUGUGGCUCAGUGGUAGAACGUAUAUGAGGCAGUGGGUUCUAUCCUCAGCACCACAUAAAAAUAAAUAAAAUAAAGGUAUUGUAUCCAUUUACAACUAAAAAAUAUUUUUAAAUAAUUUAAAACAAACAAACAAACAAAACCACCAAACCAAAAUCCCCAAAACCUAAAAACAAACACACAAACAACACGAAAAGAUUGCUUUGAAUCCAUAGAUCAAGUUGGGAAGAACUAACAUCUUAAUAAUACUGAGUCCUCCUAUCCAUGAACAUAUAAUACCUUAUAUCUUCAUUUAUUUAGUUCUUUGAUUUUUUUCAUCAGAGUUUUACAGUCUUACUUAAUAUCUAUCUUGAAUGCAGAUAUUCUGUUAGAUUUAUGCCUUAGUAUUUCAUUUGGGAGAGCUAAUGUAAGUGGUGUUUUUAAUUUCAAAUUCUACUAGUUGACUGCUGGUAAGACAGUAGUUUUGUAUAUUAACUAUGUAUCCUAUAACCUUGCUAUAUAAUUGCUUAUUAGUUCCAGAAGUUUUCCUGUCAGUUCUUUUGGAUUUUCUACAGUAAUAACUGCGUCAUCUAUGAACAAAGACAGUUUGAGUUCUCCC
rnacentral:lncRNA from 1 species